rnacentral:lncRNA from 1 species
GUUUACAGUCUCUCCACUUUAUUCUGACUUGUAGGUGAACUCCAAGAGCCCCUGGCUUCUGCAGGCCCUAUGACCAGCACUAAGAAUUAGAUGGCUGUCAACUGUCACUUGUUCCCAGGGGAGUACAUGGUCAAGGUUGUAAAAUGGUGGGAGGGAUGCUCAGGUCAAAAUGGAAAACACCUCUCAGGUAUGUCCUGAGGGUAUUGUGUGCCCCUGAGUUCCCCAUCAUCCCUCCCGUGUGUCAAUUUCUUCCGGGGUUAACUCCUAAGCCACCUGCUAUGCCCAAGGGAUAUGCGAUCUCUUUUCCGGAUUAUUCUGGAGGGGCACGGGGCUUCGUGGACACCCUUGUUUCUUCUAUCUCUCCCUGCUGUCCUGUCUGCCUCCUUUCAGAUCCCUGGAGAACCUAACAGAACCAAAGGGACCUUACUGUCCAAACAGCAGCAUUUUGGAGCAAUCUCGGAAGCUUGGCCAGAGAACAGGGAGUGAGGAGGCUCAGCUCUCUUACCACUUUUCCAGGCUGUGGGGUUCCUGUGCUCGACGUGUGUGGUGAAGGAAGUGGUUCUCCAUGAGGGACAGAGUGCCCACCGGCCCCUUGGAGCUUACGGCUCUAGGAGGAAAGCAGGACAGGCAGAAGAGCUGCAGACAGACGUCAAGUGAUGAGCCGAGAAGCUACUCUCUGAACGUCUUCCUGUAUGAGAGCAAAGCAUCAUGGACAGAUCCUUUGGAGAUGAACACUCAGAGGAGCCAACUCACCAAGUGGAGACUGGGACACAUUCCUGUUGUAGUCAGAAGACAAUGGUGUGAGAGCACACAAGGAGAGAGGUCGGACUGAGGCGAGAAGACAUGAGCUUCAAGAGAGCAGCAUUUGAAGACAGAACCUCAACCAACUCUACUGCAGACUGUAUCCAGAACACAUUACCACACCCAUCAAGAUGCUCUCUGGGCAAGCGGCUCUCCCUCACACUCACAUCCUGCCUGCCCUCCUUAGGCAUCUGGGGUGCCCCAAUCUCAGUUCUCUCUGCUCUCAUCAGAAUCAUCCACAAGAAAAGACACACCAGCAGGCUAUCUCCCGUGCAAGCCUGCAGUGGCUCCCAUCUUCCCGAAGUCUGGGCCUCCCUCUUCAUUCCCCUCCUCUUUGUCUUCUAUGUCACCGACUGGACUUCAGGUCACUCUAGGAACCCCUAUAUACCAUUCUCUCCUCUCCCAGUGCUACCUAGUUUAGGGUUGCCAGAUAAAAUAGGGGUGAACUUUUGGGCCUAAAUUUUAGAUAGAAGAUAAAGCCUUCCUUAGAAUGUGUGUGUUCCAAGUGUCAUGUUCAUGGUUUUUCUGAAGUUCAAAUGCAAGUGCAUACCUUGCCCCGGUCCUUACUAAAAUCUCAUGCCCAGUCUACCCCUUCACACCCAUGCAUCCCUGAGCUCAGGAGUCUGCUCUUUACAUGCUGUUGGGAGCAACGGUGGAGAGCUCUUCUAAAGGGAUUUAAUUUUAAAUAUGUUUGUUUAUUUAAAUAAGAUAUUGAAUUUUGCAUAGAUGUAUUUAUUUUAAAUACAUUUUUCAGUACUGGAGAUUGACCCUAGAGCCUCACACUUUAGCAAAUUCUCUCAUAUUGGUAUUCUCCCUCCUUUCCUCACUCCUCCUCC